rnacentral:lncRNA from 1 species
GGAGAACUCUGAAAAGUAAAUAAGAACAGAUGGAUGGGUAGAGACCUCACACGCCAACAACAACGUAUGGUGAGAGAGAGCCGGGAGGAGCAGAGAGAGAGGAGAGAGAGAGAAUCUUCAAGCAGACGGGGCGCAGAGUGUGAAGCCCGAUGCGGGACUCGACCCCAGGACCCUGAGAUCGUGACCUGAGCCAAAACCAAGAGUUGGAAGCUCAACUGACUGAGCCCCCCGACCCCACCCCAGGUGCCCUGACUUUCCGAUACAACAAGGAAGGCUGGAGCCCAUCUCUGAAGGCA